AACAACACACACCAGGGCCUGUGGGGAGUAGGGAGGGAAAACAUCAGGAUAAAUAGUUACUGCAUGCGGGGCUUCAUGCCUAGGUGAUGGGUUGGUAGGUGCGGCAAACCACCAUGGCACACGUUUACCUGUGUAACAAACCUGCACGUUCUGCACAUGUGUCCCAGAACUUAAAAUAAAAUAAAAUUUUAAAAAAGAAAGAAUGUUUCCUUGAUGAAGAUAUCUCUGCUUUUAAGAUGUAUCUGCAUUUUUAAUUACACUUCAGUACAAUUGACGUGCCAUUUAAGUAAUUAAUCUUCCACUAGAGGAAAGGAAAGGGAAGAGAAGGGAAGGGAACCAUCUAGUCUUUUACUUAUUAAUUUUUAUAUUAGUAAUUUUUAUGAUUAUGAGAAGAAUCUAUAAACCAUGUGAAGUGGAGAAAAUUUGGUUACUAGAGAAAAACAUGAAGUGGAAAAUAAAUACCACCUAUAACCCACCACACAUUUUGGCAAAUGUGUUUCCAGUCCAGUCUUUUUAUAUCAAUUAGAUAUGUACUUUUUUUAUUGAAAUAUAAUUCACAUACCACACAAUUCACUGGUUUCAAUUGUACCACUCAGUGGCUUUUACUAUAUUCACAGAGCUGUGCCACCAACCAUUGCCACAGUACAAUUUCAAACAUCUUCCCCAGCCUCUCAGAGAAACCUCCAUCCCUUUUAGCUGUCACCCUUUCAGCUGUCACCCCUUAACUUCCCUCAUCUCCUCCAUCUCCAGCCCUGGGAAACCAAGAAUCUACUUUGUGCUUGUAUGGAUUUGCCUAUUCUGGACAUUUCAUAUAAAUCGAAUCAUAUAAUAUGUGGGGGUUUUUUUGGUAACCAGCUUCUUUCACUUAGUAUAAUAUUUUCAAGGUUUAUUUGUGUUGUAACGUGAGUGCGCACCUCCUUCGUAUGGCUGAGUAAUAGUCUGGUGUUUGGGUAUAACACAAUUUUUAAUCCAUUCAUCACUUGAUAGACAUUUGGGACAUUUGGGUUGUUUGCGCUUUUUGGCUAUUAUGAAUAAUGUUACUAUGAACUUUUGGCACAAAUUUUUGCAUGGGUGUAUGUUUUCAUUUCUCUUGGUUAUAUACCUAGAAAUGGAAUAGAAUGGGCUUAUGUGGUAACUCUAUGUUUAACCUUUUGAGGAAUUGCCAGACUGUUUUCCAGAGUCUCUCCACUAUUUUACAUUUCCACCAGCAGCGUAUGAGAAUUCUGAUUUCUCCACACCCUCACCAACAAUUUUUAUUAUUUGUCUUUUUUAUGACAGCCAUCUAGUGUUAUAUAAUUUCAUUGUGGUUUUUAUUUGCAUUUCCCUGAUAGCUAAUGACUCAUCUUUUUAUGUGUUUAUUGAUCAUUGUAUAUAGUCUUAUGGAGAAAUAGCUUUCAGAUCUUUUGCCUUUAUUUAAAAAAAAAAGAGAGAACAAGUGUCUCUCUGUUGCUCAGGCUGGAGAGCAAUGGUACAAUCAUAGCUCACUGUAACCUCAAACACCUAGGCUCAAGCCAUCCUCCUACCUUAGCCUUCAGGGUAACUGGAACUAUAGGCAUGCAACAACAUUCCUGCCCAAAAAGAAAUUGAUGAGGACUCCUGGGCUUAAGCAGUUCUCCCGCCUCAGCCUCCCAAAGGGCUGGGAUUACAGGUGUGAGCCACUGCACCUAGUCUUUUGACCGUUUUCAGAUUGUGUUCAUUGUCUUUUUAGUAUUGAGUUUUAAGAGUUAUUUAUAUAUUCUAGAUACAAACCCCUUAUCAGAUAUAUGGUUUGCAAAAUUUUUCUCCCAUUCUUUUGGCUGUCUUUUAUACUUUCUUGGUGGUGUUCUUAGAAAUACAAAUAUUUUUAGUAUCAAUGAAAUCCAACUUAACUAUUUUUUCUUUUGUUGCUCAUGCUUUUGGAGUCAUAUCUAAGAAACCAUUGCCUAAUGCUAGGUCAUUAAGAUUUAUCCCAUCUUUUCUUUUAGGGGUUUUCAUAAUUUUAGCUUUACAUUUGAGUCUUUGAUCCAUUUUAAGUUAAUUUUUGUGAAUGGUGUGAGGAAUGGGAAAAUUUAUCCCAUGCCUCUCUCCUAGCUUCUGGCAGUUCUUGGCUUUUCUUAUAGAUAAAUCUUUCCAAUCUCUGCCUCUGGCUUCACAUGGCUCUCUCCUGUGUAUGUCUCUGUGUCUUCUCUUUUUCUGUCUCUUUAUCAGGAUUUAAGGCCCACUCUAAAUUCAGGAUGAUCUCAUCUCAAGAUCUUUAACUUAAUGACAUCUGCCAAGACCCAAUUUCCAAAUAAAGUCACAUCCACAGGUGCUAGGGGUUGGUAUUUGGAGUAUCUUUGGGAGGCACCACUCACACCUGUCCCGUGGUCUUCCUCUGAGGAUGGGUGAGGAGAAGAUCAGUUACUUACUCACUCAUCUGCUCACUCCUCCAACAGCUAUGCCAAAGGUCAUAGGAGGAUCCAGGGAUAUGAUAAUAAAUUGGAGAGGAUCCUUGCCCUGGAGAAUAUCACUAUUUGGAAGGGCUUUGGGAUAUGAAUAACAGAAACACAAGGAAAGGGAUGGUGAGAGCCAUAAGAUUCGGAAGCUGAAGGACUAAUGGAAGCAGCCCAGAGAGGGAAGGGCUUUCAAAGCAGAGGCUGACAUUGUCAGCAAAGGCAGAGGCUAGAGAGCAAAAAUAGGUCAGGAAUCCUUGCAACUGAGUUUGGCAGUAAUGGCGGGUGUGGGCGAGAGAGAGAGACAAAGAUAGAGAAGCAGUCACCCAGAAAACUCAGGCUCCAACUGCCAUAGUUUCUUUUAGGAUAUGUGAGGGUGGGCUGGGGUUUGCAGGACCACUUAUUCAUACCUUCGGGACCCUCCAAAACUGGCCUGGUAGUCUAGAACUCCAGGUAGGGAUCACCCUGAACUGAACCUGCAGCUAGAAGAUGUGGGCUGACCAUGAAUUCCAUAUACCUUCACAGGUGAAGUUGUAUGAGCCCAGAACCAGCUGAGUUCCCCAAUCCAGGCUCAUGCUAAAGCCAGUUCUGAUCAUCUCACUUCCUCAUUUGGCAAGAAAACGCCUCUGUCGCAAACCAAUUGCUGAGCUUCAUGUCUUUCAUGCAAAUUUUGCUAUAAAAUCCUGUCACAACAAACAGAACUGAGCUGCUCCUCGGAGCUCCAUGAACGUAGAUGGCAGGACUGUCUUACUUUUUGAGGUAGCAGUCACGACAGUUGUCAUGGGGUAAUAUUAUUGCUCCAGAGCCCUGUGGCCAGGGUCCUGCUGAGGGCUCCACACAGAGGGGACAGGGUGGCAUGUAGACAGAAGGCUCUCACUGACUGGACCUUGGGACCCUUGAGAUUCUGAGCCCAAGAGGUGUCACCCCACCCCAUUGGACCUUAUCGACGGCCUCUCCCCUGAAGAGCAAAGGCUGAGGGCAAAAAGGAAAACAGAUUAACAGCGCAAAAGCUCCCUGGGUCUUCAGCCAGGAGCGGCAAGUUCCUUACAAAUUUACACACAUGUGGCAGAAGCGUAACAAUAAGCAGAGUCGUGCUGGGCUAGCUGCGCCGCUUCUGCCGUGGAAGAACAGGUUCGGCAGCCAAUCUCCUGGGAGGAGCCCUCUUUGGUGGAAAUUUGGACACACAGGAAGAGCACACACUGGUGGGGCCUUGUUCCCUGCAGCACCAUCUGGGUGAAAAGGAGGCCAGCAUACGCAGUUUGGAAGCAAGAAGUCACAGCAUGAAAUAUGCAGGACUUCCCUCUCCUAAGGCACAGUUUUCCCAGGUUCAAAAUAAGCAGCGUGAUGUCCUCUGCCCACCCACCCCCUCCUUUUCUUGUAGUGUCCCUUAUCUCACUUAACAAAGUGUGGGCUCUCACCAAACCAGAGAGCCUUCCUGAAACAGGCAGAGAGAGCACUGCUCCCCACCCCUCACAUCCUCCCUACCCUUUCCCCCGACCCCCCUCGCCAAGCCACAGAGGGAGGGCAGUUCCCAGGGUAAGCCUCGUGUACCAAAAACGGUCUGUGCUCUGCGUGUGCGAGGAUUGAGAGCCACAGUGGACUAAAGCCAGGAGACUUGGUGUCGAGUUCUAGCUCUGCCACCAACAUGUUCAGCGGCUUGGAGCAUGUCACUUGGUGUCACCACGCCUCCGUUUUCUCUCUGUAAAACAAUCCAGGUAGUACGGUAUUUCAGUGUUGCAAAGAUCCUUAGAGAUUUAGUCCAGGAGUUGGCAAAAUACAGUCCACUGGCCAAUCUUGUUCACCACUUGUCUUUGUAAAUAAAGUUUUAUUGGAAUACAACCACGCCCCUCCAUUUACAACCCAUCUGUGGCUGCUUUCAUGCUACAGUGGUGGCUUUGGAUAGUUGAGAGAGAUACUGACCAUGUGGUCUACAAGCCUAAAAUAUUAUAUUUGUCUCUUUACAUAAAAAGUUUGCCAGCCCCUGCUCUAGGCCAACAUCAUCAUGUUAACAACACAGAAAGAGAGGCAUGGGCAGAUUAAGGAAUUUGCCAAACUCAUAGAGCAAGUCAGGGCAGAGGCUGGGACAGCCUGGCGCUCCUGAUUUACAUUGGCCCAGAGUUCUUACCUGGUCUAAAGCUCUCCGUCUGAUUCUAGGUAGAAGCUGUGCUGGGGAGAAGCCUUGUGGGGAUAGAGGAGCCGGUUCCAUGAAAGAAGUCUAUGCAGUUGGGGCAGAACCCUGAGACUUCUGCAGCAGGGACAGUUCUGUUGCAUUCUGUAUGGGUCAGCGUGAGGCUACCACACCUCAGGGCUGCUGAGCUUAAGAGAGGAGCCAAAUGGCUCUCUUGAUAGGAAAUGGGGCUUCAGGUUGAAAUCAGAUGAGAGCUGGCCUCUGAGGACAUUUUAACCACAGGUCACAGCUCUUGGUAAACUUUAGUUGGCUUUUGAACCACGGGGAGACAUUUUUUCUUGCCUCUUUACUUACUGGCUAUUUCCUCCUUCUAGCAUUCAUUAAUCUGACUGGUUAACCAUUGAACCCAACUCAGUCUCCUCUUGUUUCAAAUCUUGUUCUCCCUGUUGGCUUCAGAAAAAGAGUUCACACUAAACAAACCUACUUUUUUUCUCUUUCUUUUCACAGCCAGAGCCAAGUGAUAAAGGAGGUGGGGUCAGGGGUGCUAUGUUUACUCUAAAAGACACACCCAAACCUGAGCUCUGGGAGUGGGGAGGGCCCUUCUAA
rnacentral:lncRNA from 1 species